rnacentral:rRNA from 1 species
ACCCCAAACCGACACAGGUGGUCAGGUAGAGAAUACUCAGGCGCUUGAGAGAACUCGGGUGAAGGAACUAGGCAAAAUGGUGCCGUAACUUCGGGAGAAGGCACGCUGGCACUAGGUGAAGUGGUUUACCCAUGGAGCUGAAGCCAGUCGCAGAUACCAGCUGGCUGCAACUGUUUAUUAAAAACACAGCACUGUGCAAACACGAAAGUGGACGUAUACGGUG